rnacentral:tRNA from 1 species
UUGGGAUGUGGCUCCAGUGGUAGCGCGCUCGCCUGGCAUGCGUGAGGUGCUGGGUUCGAUCCUCAGCACCAAA